rnacentral:rRNA from 1 species
CCUACGGGUGGCAGCAGUGAGGAAUAUUGGUCAAUGGACGAGAGUCUGAACCAGCCAAGUAGCGUGAAGGAUGACUGCCCUAUGGGCUGUAAACUUCUUUUAUAAAGGAAUAAAACGAGGCACGUGUGCCUUUUUGCAUGUACUUUAUGAAUAAGGAUCGGCUAACUCCGUGCCAGCAGCAGCGGUAAUACGGAGGAUCCGAGCGUUAUCCGGAAUUAUUGGGUUUAAAGGGAGCGUAGAUGGGUUGUUAAGUUAGUUGUGAAAGUUUGUGGCUCAACCGUAAAAUUGCAAUUGAUACUGGCAGUCUUGAGUACAGUAGAGGUAGGCGGAAUUCGUGGUGUAGCGGUGAAAUGCUUAGAGAUCACGAAGAACCCUGAUUGCGAAGGCAGCUUACUAAACUGUGACUGACAUUGAUGCUCGAAAGUGUGGGGAUCAAACAGGAUUAGAUACCCAAGUAGUC